UACGGAAAUAAAUGCAAUUAGACCAUUUGUCAUCAAGAAGAACAAGUCCAUAAGAGCAGAAGAGAACAGACCUGCAGCUGGUGUGACCACAUUAGCCGGAGACUCAGAGAAGCCUUUAAGCAAGUGAACAUCAGAGAUGCCUUGUUCCACCUGGGCUGCACAUGGGACUAGCGCUCACUCCUCCAGGUGGAUCCACAUUCAUCCAACGUGUGUAAUAACAACAACCAGCUUUGCCCCAGGAGGCCAGCUCUGCGUCUUUCUCUCCAAGCAUGACCACUGCCUCUCCCACCCAACAUCCUGCUCUGGGCCUGGCACUGAGCUCAUAUGAUUGACCUGCAUUCUAACAACCAGGAAGCAUGAUGCCCAGAGGGUUCCCAGCCUGUCUGAUCCUGCCCCAAUGCUUGAAAUUGCUAACUGCAGUUAUGCAAUGAGCACAGCGGACAACUCAGAUCAUGGGUCCUCCUUCUCACUGUAGGGACGAGCAGAUGUCUCCGCAGUGACAGCAGCACUGGGCGCCUUGUGCAGUG